UAGGACCUCCCCCAACCCGAUCCUUCCACCCGCUACUACUACUACGUGUCGUCUCCUUGAACCACGUUCUUUAUCUUACCUCGAGCGAGGCAACCGGCAGCAGCCUCCGCUGCCAGAGUGCCGGUGGGCUCUCGAUGCACCAGCUUCCUCUGGCUGCGCGGCCGGCGGCGCCGCGGUCUCACUGUUCUUGGAGUAGGACGGCGUGCCGCUGUAGCUUGAAGCAGGCACCUGCCUCUCUCGCCGUGGCCGCAAGACGGUGCGCGGCCGCGCCGCUCUUGGCCGCGUCGCUCCUCCUCGCCGCCGCGGCGUCUCCUGGCAUUCCUGCCAGUACUCCACCAGCGUUUGCCCAAUCCCAAGGCGCGGCGCUGUUCCGGAAGGCGUGCGUCGGGUGCCACGACACGGGAGGGAACAUCCUACAGCCGGGCGCCACCCUCUCCAUGAAGGAUCUUGAGAGGAACGGAGUUGCCACGGAGGAAGAGAUAUACAACAUCACUUACUACGGGAAGGGAAGGAUGCCGGGUUAUGGAGAGCAAUGCACGCCGAGAGGGCAGUGUACCUUCGGCCCCCGGCUGCCUGAAGAGGAUAUCAAGAUGCUUGCAGCAUUUGUCAAAUCGCAAGCAGAGAACGGGUGGCCAAAGAUCGACGGUGAUGUCGAGUGAUCCGAUUACGGUUGAACACGAGGUGCUGGCUCCAUUUCGUGAGGAGGCUCAAACCAUAAUUUUUUAUGAGGUUAUAUUUUUUUGAUCCGCAAACCGUAAAACAAUUGUUCUAAGUAAGUUUAUAUAUUAAUAAAAUGAAAAUAGGUAUUCACGUAAACGAAGAUUACAUGCCAGAAAAUAGAAGGCCGCGUAAGAGAUUCUAGCUAGUUUGUGAAUAAGGUCUCUCCUUAUGUCGAUAAUGUCCGAUCUGGCCCGAUAAAGGACCUUUGAGAAUUUGUGUCGCUAGAUCUGUUGGCUCUCUUUGGAUCUUGGUAGUCGGUGUAUCUAUCAAGGUGAGCAAUUGUCUGGCUAUUGGUGUGGUGACUUUGACAUCUUCUUCAAUGUUGUUAUGCAACAUGGUCCACUUUCUCUAACUCUCUGGACCGAUGGUGAUGAAUUGCAAGUCUGUCUUGCGUGGGCUAAUGCUCCAACCGAUGUUUCUUUAGCGAUGCCUAGGUCUCAUUUCAAGCGGUGAGUGACUAUUGCGGUUUAAUAAAGCCUGGUAUGGCAAGGGCGUUUGCAGGUGUCCCUUGACUUUAUUGUUGGUUCAGUGCAAUUUUCAAGCUUCCACGGACAGCGUACAAUCCGAGAAAGAAAAAUGUUAGUAGGAUUUUUUGUGUAAUUUUUUACUGGUCGUUCUGUAUCCACUUUGACGGUGCAUAGUACCAAGGGUGCCCGGUUAAUCGGGUGGCCGGUUAAUCGGGAAGCCUGUCGACAAACCGGUCUCAGGGACGAACAUACCAAGACAUGGCCUAGGCCCCUCGUCCCGCGAGAGACCUACCUUCUAGAAGAUAACACAUUGACGUACAAGUUAGGAACAAUAGGCCAAGACAUGGUCUAGGUAAACAUCUUGACGUACUACUACAUAUUGUUUUACGGUUAGUAAACACCCUUCCGGAGUUUACUAAAUAAAUGGUGGAAAAUUCUUCAUUCUAUAGGAUGUUGUACAUCAUUGAGGAGUAUUUGGAAGAAUUUCAGGAGUAAGUCCAUUUAUCUGAGUAAUUUGUCUACUGCAUAUUGAUGAGAUCCUGCUGGAGGAGUUAGAAUUGUUGAAAUACUUGAAUUGAUAGUUGUCUGUUGAAAUUAUCGUCCAGAUCAUGAGUUUGAUGGAUCUACAUUGAACAUUUAUCAUAUAUAGCAAGUGAGUGUAAUUCUGGGUAAUAUACUUUAAGAGCCAC
rnacentral:rRNA from 1 species